UCUAGGUAGGGUCCAUUUCAACGGUCUGGCUUAUGACAAGGCAAUGGGAUCCCAGGGAGCCUGAAUGACUCUCCCUUGCCCAGGAGUGGGCAGAAGCUCGCCCAUCCCAGUAGGAUGUCUGCUGGCAAAUUCCAGCAGAGGACUCCGUUCCCAGCCCUGCUGCUGCUUCUGGUUUAUAGGUGAGAUGGUCCUCCAUUCAAAGUCAAGUUCGUUUGCCCAGCUUGCACAUCAUGACCUUGGAAAUGCACCCUCAUCACUGUCUACUUGACAAGGACAUCCAUACGUGGUGCUCAGCUUCUCUAAUCUCCUGAUGAUGAUGGAGACGUGGAGACGUGGAGAUGACGAAGCUUGGCGAGGCCAGAAGUGUUGUCCUCACAAACCAAGGCAUAUCUAGAACACUCAUGCAGAGGGAGGCAGCUGCCGUAAUCAAUCUGCCAGUCCCUCACAGGUUGGGAACUCCGGUGAGUGGCCCCAGACCCCUCUGACAGUGGCCUUGGGUGAUGUUUAGCACACAAAGAACAUGCUCUUACCACAUUAACCAGGUCCUCCUCUUUCAAGGGCAGAUGGCGUCUUUGGAUAGAAGUCACCCACCUGGGUACCAAGGUGACCACUUCCUGGGCAUCCAGUCUGCUGUGUCUACUAAACGGUCAGUUGCUAGGGCUCAUCCCGAAGCUAGGGCAUCACCUUCCUGAUUGCUUGGGGUGCCCGCGGCUUAUGAACCAGACAUGGAAGACAGCAGGACCACCUGAAGCCCUUGCAGGCAAACUCAAAUGUCC
rnacentral:lncRNA from 1 species